rnacentral:rRNA from 1 species
AGAGUUUGAUCCUGGCUCAGGACGAACGCUGGCGGCGUGCCUAAUACAUGCAAGUCGAGCGGACAGAUGGGAGCUUGCUCCCUGAUGUUAGCGGCGGACGGGUGAGUAACACGUGGGUAACCUGCCUGUAAGACUGGGAUAACUCCGGGAAACCGGGGCUAAUACCGGAUGGUUGUUUGAACCGCAUGGUUCAAACAUAAAAGGUGGCUUCGGCUACCACUUACAGAUGGACCCGCGGCGCAUUAGCUAGUUGGUGAGGUAACGGCUCACCAAGGCAACGAUGCGUAGCCGACCUGAGAGGGUGAUCGGCCACACUGGGACUGAGACACGGCCCAGACUCCUACGGGAGGCAGCAGUAGGGAAUCUUCCGCAAUGGACGAAAGUCUGACGGAGCAACGCCGCGUGAGUGAUGAAGGUUUUCGGAUCGUAAAGCUCUGUUGUUAGGGAAGAACAAGUACCGUUCGAAUAGGGCGGUACCUUGACGGUACCUAACCAGAAAGCCACGGCUAACUACGUGCCAGCAGCCGCGGUAAUACGUAGGUGGCAAGCGUUGUCCGGAAUUAUUGGGCGUAAAGGGCUCGCAGGCGGUUUCUUAAGUCUGAUGUGAAAGCCCCCGGCUCAACCGGGGAGGGUCAUUGGAAACUGGGGAACUUGAGUGCAGAAGAGGAGAGUGGAAUUCCACGUGUAGCGGUGAAAUGCGUAGAGAUGUGGAGGAACACCAGUGGCGAAGGCGACUCUCUGGUCUGUAACUGACGCUGAGGAGCGAAAGCGUGGGGAGCGAACAGGAUUAGAUACCCUGGUAGUCCACGCCGUAAACGAUGAGUGCUAAGUGUUAGGGGGUUUCCGCCCCUUAGUGCUGCAGCUAACGCAUUAGGCACUCCGCCUGGGGAGUACGGUCGCAAGACUGAAACUCAAAGGAAUUGACGGGGGCCCGCACAAGCGGUGGAGCAUGUGGUUUAAUUCGAAGCAACGCGAAGAACCUUACCAGGUCUUGACAUCCUCUGACAAUCCUAGAGAUAGGACGUCCCCUUCGGGGGCAGAGUGACAGGUGGUGCAUGGUUGUCGUCAGCUCGUGUCGUGAGAUGUUGGGUUAAGUCCCGCAACGAGCGCAACCCUUGAUCUUAGUUGCCAGCAUUCAGUUGGGCACUCUAAGGUGACUGCCGGUGACAAACCGGAGGAAGGUGGGGAUGACGUCAAAUCAUCAUGCCCCUUAUGACCUGGGCUACACACGUGCUACAAUGGACAGAACAAAGGGCAGCGAAACCGCGAGGUUAAGCCAAUCCCUCAAAUCUGCUCUCAGUUCGGAUCGCAGUCUGCAACUCGACUGCGUGAAGCUGGAAUCGCUAGUAAUCGCGGAUCAGCAUGCCGCGGUGAAUACGUCCCCGGGCCUUGUACACACCGCCCGUCACACCACGAGAGUUUGUAACACCCGAAGUCGGUGAGGUAACCUUUUGGGAGCCAGCCGCCGAAGGUGGGACAGAUGAUUGGGGUGAAGUCGUAACAAGGUA